rfam:Sulfitobacter geojensis strain EhN01 A2_Contig1, whole genome shotgun sequence.
UUCGCAGCGCGUGUUUCAGAACGAUAUCGGAAAACUUGACCCCCUUCAGCCGCGCCGUGCGGAUGUAUUGCGCCGUCAUGACCUCGGCCAUAGAGGCGCGGGUCAUCCGCGCGAUAUACCCCAUGCCGUAAAGCGAGAUCGUCAACACCGGUAGAAAGAAAUUCCAGAAGGUUGCGUCC